rnacentral:rRNA from 1 species
GGUUAGGUACAGACGCGCUGUGGUGUUGCCGGGUUGGCGCUUGGGUGAGUCGCAUGCGACAAGUCCAGUUGUUCGAUCUUGGUGGCGUUAUAGUGCCCUAGCUGAUCCUCGGUGUAAAAGUUGGUCAUCUCUCCGACCCGUCUUGAAACACGGACCAAGGAGUCUAGCGUAUGCGCGAGUCAUUGGGCGGAAAACCCAUAGGCGUAAUGAAAGUAAAGGUCUCUUUUCGGAGGCUGAUAUGCGAUCCGUCGUGCCACGGUGCGGCGGAGCAGCAUAGCCCCAUCUUGACUGCUUGCAGUGGGGUGGAGGUAGAGCGUAUUCGCUGGUACCCGAAAGAUGGUGAACUAUGCCUGAGCAGGAUGAAGCCAGAGGAAACUCUGGUGGAGGUCCGUAACGCUUCUGACGUGCAAAUCGAUCGUCUGACUUGGGUAU